rnacentral:rRNA from 1 species
CAACAGGGAUUGCCCUAGUAACGGCGAGUGAAGCGGCAACAGCUCAAAUUUGAAAUCUGGCCUCGGCCCGAGUUGUAAUUUGCAGAGGAUGUUUCUGGCGCGGUGCCUUCCGAGUUCCCUGGAACGGGACGCCACAGAGGGUGAGAGCCCCGUAUGGUUGGACACCAAGCCUGUGUGAAACUCCUUCGACGAGUCGAGUAGUUUGGGAAUGCUGCUCUAAAUGGGAGGUAAAUCUCUUCUAAAGCUAAAUACCGGCCAGAGACCGAUAGCGCACAAGUAGAGUGAUCGAAAGAUGAAAAGCACCUUGAAAAGGGGGUUAAACAGUACGUGAAAUUGUUGAAAGGGAAGCGCUCAUGACCAGACUUGUGCCGGGCGGUUCAUCCGGGGUUCUCCCCGGUGCACUCCGCCCGGUUCAGGCCAGCAUCGGUUCUCGUUGGGGGAUAAGAACGGUAGGAACGUGGCCCUCCCUCGGGAGGGUGUUAUAGCCUGCCGUACGAUACCCUGAUGGGGACCGAGGUUCGCGCUCCGCAAGGAUGCUGGCGUAAUGGUCAUCAGCGACCCGUCUUGAAACACGGGCCAAGGAGUCGUCCAUUAGAGCGAGCGUUUGGGUGUAAAACCCGCACGCGUAAUGAAAGUGAAAUUAGGUGAGAGCUUCGGCGCAUCAUCGACCGAUCCUGAUGUUCUCGGAUGGAUUUGAGUAAGAGUUUUAACGGACGGACCCGAAAGACAGUGAACUAUGCUUGUAUAGGGUGAAGCCAGAGGAAACUCUGGUGGAGGCUCGCAGCGGUUCUGACGUGCAAAUCGAUCGUCAAAUAUGAGCAUGGGGGCGAAAGACUAAUCGAACUGUCUAGUA